rnacentral:sRNA from 1 species
UUCAUCCUUGCGUGAUAAGGCCUCUUC